GAUGAACGCUGGCGGCGUGCCUAAUACAUGCAAGUCGAGCGAAUGGAUUAAGAGCUUGCUCUUAUGGAGUUAGCGGCGGACGGGUGAAUAACACGUGGGUAACCUGCCCAUAAGACUGGGAUAACUCCGGGAAACCGGGGCUAAUACCGGAUAACAUUUUGAACCGCAUGGUUCGAAAUUGAAAGGCGGCUUCGGCUGUCACUUAUGGAUGGACCCGCGUCGCAUUAGCUAGUUGGUGAGGUAACGGCUCACCAAGGCAACGAUGCGUAGCCGACCUGCGAGGGUGAUCGGCCACACUGGGACUGAGACACGGCCCAGACUCCUACGGGAGGCAGCAGUAGGGAAUCUUCCGCAAUGGACGAAAGUCUGACGGAGCAACGCCGCGUGAGUGAUGAAGGCUUUCGGGUCGUAAAACUCUGUUGUUAGGGAAGAACAAGUGCUAGUUGAAUAAGCUGGCACCUUGACGGUACCUAACCAGAAAGCCACGGCUAACUACGUGCCAGCCGCCGCGGUAA
rnacentral:rRNA from 1 species